UGCAUUUUAUGGCAAAAGUGGUCUCUUAUUCUUUUAUUUUUAAAAAAGAAUCAUAAGGGUAGACUGAGAAAUUGAAAUCCUGAUAAUCCACUACUAAUUAAAGCGAUUAAUAAUCAGGUAAAUCAUCAGCCAUCAAUUUUCUUCUAUUAUAUUAAUUAAUUCUAUCUUCUCCGUUCAGCUAGAAAUGGACAAUUCAUACGUGUUAAGAUCACUAACUUCACAGGGAGAGACACACAACUUUUCGUCCCCUUUAUAUCCAUUCCUGCUCCUAUACAUAUACCCCACUGCAUUUUGUUGAAAAGUAUCAUAAUAUCAGAACCAGAGAACCCAAGAUUCAACUCUUCCUUCCAAGUUUCAAUCAAUGGCUUCUUCUUCCUUUUACAUAACAAUUAGAUUUAUGAUUCUAGUAAUCUUCAUUUUGGGGAUGGCUGUUUUGGUUCGGCUUCUGCUGGAAACUUCCUCCAAGAGUCUGAUGUCACUUGGGGAAAUGGUCGAGGGAAGGUACUUGAAAAUGGUCAGCUUCUUACUCUUGCUCUUGAUAAAGCUUCAGGCUCAGGCUUUCAAUCGAAGAAGGAGUAUCCGUUUGGGAAGAUUGAUAUGCAGCUCAAGCUUGUUCCUGGCAACUCUGCCGGCACUGUCACCGCUUAUUAUGUCCAGAUGAUUCUAGGGAUCCACAAAAGGGUGGGAUACAAAACGCGUUGGUGAUUGGUCCAACUAUGCAACCAAAGGGAAUGUGAGUGCUUUCCAUCCUUGUAUCUCCUGCCUGCCUGCCUAUAAGCUUUACUAUCACCACAAUCAUAAUUAUCUUUAUAAUGAGAAUCUUUGUUAUUGGUGCUAAUCAUUUCUUUGUUUCCUUUAGAAAUAAUGUUGGUCCUCAGGGAUAAAGCACUGCCUUGAUUUCUGGUUCUAAAUCAUCUGAAAGGUUCCAUUUUGAGCUUGUUCUGACACUUAAUGAGGCAAAUAUGCUUGUCUAUUUGAUGCCACUUUACAUUUACAAUAAUGUUUGGCUGCUGCAGUGAUUAUGUAAUUCUGCUUUUAUCAUUUGGCUAGAGAUUCGAAGUUCAUAGUUUUCUGCUGUUUUAUAUAGUGAAACUUAAUUGAGGUGUUCUUUGUAAUGCCUUACAUAAAAAAGAGAAUUUGAAAGUACUGUAGAAUGUAAUGCAAAGUACUUAAGAAACAUAAAUUAAUAUGAAAUGAAAAGUGUCCUGCUUCACUUGUGUAAUAAUGUAACAGAAGACCAAUAUAGGAUGAUUAAGGUUGAAAAAAGUGUAGAAAAUAGUUGGGGUUUAACAAACUUUUGAAUUAAAACUGUAUUUGAAACCAGAAAAUACAAUUAUCUACUAAUAAUAGUUAAGAUAAAUCCUAAUCCUAGACUGAAAAGUAAUCAUAUUAAACCAAUAAAAGACUAAUUAAACAAGAAUCCUAAUUAAGAAAAUAAAAUCAAAAGAAAUAAGAAAACUGAAUUUAAAUAAAAUCCUAAUUUGAUAUUCCUGCAUCAUGUAAUUUUUGUGUCUACAAAUUGACGUUUCCUGCGUGAUAUAUAAUUUGUACGCACUCCAUCUUAUAAGGUUCUCCACAUCUGCUAUAAUGGAAAGAAUUCCAAGCAAAUGGCCGCGUCCUGUUUGGCAUCCUCCAUGGAAGAACUACAGGGUAAGAACUUUCUAAUUGGUGUUACUGUGUUGUUGGUUAGGUUGCAGCAUAUGUUGUGUGAUUACUUGCAAUUUACAAUUGAUGAGCUUUUUUUUUUUUUUUUCUGCUAAUCUGUAAUAGGUACAUCUUUUCCAUAAAAGUAAUGUAGUCUACACAUAUUGUCAAGUCUGCA